CAUGUUCUUUUGAAUAAUAAUAUUAGAUUUAACCUGCCCAAUGAUUUAUUAAAUGGCCGCGGUAUAUUGACCGUGCAAAGGUAGCAUAAUAAUUAGUUUUUUUAUUGAAAGCUGGUAUGAAUGGUUGGACGAGAGAAUUACUGUCUCUAUUUUAUUUUAUUAGAAUUUAACUUUUGAGUAAAAAGGCUUAAAUUUUAUUAAAAGACGAGAAGACCCUAUAGAGUUUUAUUUAUUAUAAUCUAUAUUUUUAUGAAGAAUAGAUUUAAUUUAGUUUUUAGUAAAUUUUGUUGGGGUGAUGUAAAGAUUGAAUUAACUCUUUAUUAUUAUAUUCAUUGAUAAAUGAGUUGUUGAUCCAUAUUUUUUGAUUAAAAGAAUAAAUUACCUUAGGGAUAACAGCGUAAUCUUUUCAAAGAGUUCUUAUCGAAGAAAGGGGUUGCGACCUCGAUGUUGGAUUAAAAUUAAUUGUUGGCGCAAAAGUUAAUAAAUUGAGUCUGUUCGACUUUUAAAAUUUUACAUGAUCUGAGU
rnacentral:rRNA from 1 species